UACGGAGGGUGCUAGCGUUGUUCGGAAUUAUUGGGCGUAAAGCGCGUGUAGGCGGCUUUGCAAGUCGGGUGUGAAAGCCCUCAGCUCAACUGAGGAAGUGCGCCCGAAACUGCAGAGCUUGAGUGCCGGAGAGGGUGGCGGAAUUCCCCAAGUAGAGGUGAAAUUCGUAGAUAUGGGGAGGAACACCGGUGGCGAAGGCGGCCACCUGGACGGUAACUGACGCUGAGACGCGAAAGCGUGGGGAGCAAACAGG
rnacentral:rRNA from 1 species